rnacentral:rRNA from 1 species
AUUGAACGCUGGCGGCAUGCCUUACACAUGCAAGUCGAACGGUAACGGGCCUUCGGGUGCCGACGAGUGGCGAACGGGUGAGUAAUGUAUCGGAACGUACCUGUCAGUGGGGGAUAACGUAGCGAAAGUUACGCUAAUACCGCAUAUUCUGUGAGCAGGAAAGCAGGGGAUCGCAAGACCUUGCGCUGAUUGAGCGGCCGAUAUCAGAUUAGCUAGUUGGUGAGGUAAAGGCUCACCAAGGCGACGAUCUGUAGCGGGUCUGAGAGGAUGAUCCGCCACACGGGAACUGAGACACGGUCCAGACUCCUACGGGAGGCAGCAGUGGGGAAUUUUGGACAAUGGGGGCAACCCUGAUCCAGCCAUGCCGCGUGAGUGAAGAAGGCCUUCGGGUUGUAAAGCUCUUUCGGCCGGGAAGAAAUCGUAUCAGCUAAUACCUGGUGCGGAUGACGGUACCGGCAUAAGAAGCACCGGCUAACUACGUGCCAGCCGCCGCAGUAAUAC